rnacentral:rRNA from 1 species
UACGUAGGGGGCAAGCGUUGUCCGGAAUCAUUGGGCGUAAGAGCGCGUAGGCGGUCCGGUAAGUCCGCUCUGAAAGUCCGGGGCUCAACCCCGGGAGGCGGGCGGAUACUGUCCGGGCUAGAGUCCGGAAGAGGCGAGUGGAAUUCCUGGUGUAGCGGUGAAAUGCGCAGAUAUCAGGAGGAACACCAAUUGCGAAGGCAGCUCGCUGGGACGUAACUGACGCUGAGAACGCGAAAGCCGUGGGGAGCAAAC